CUCAGAGAAAUUUGAGCUAAUACCGGAUAAUGUCUUCGGACCAAAGAUUUAUCGCCUUUAGAUGGGCCCGCGUUAGAUUAGAUAGUUGGUGGGGUAAUGGCCUACCAAGUCGACGAUCUAUAGCUGGUCUGAGAGGAUGAUCAGCCACACUGGGACUGAGACACGGCCCUACUCCUACGGGAGGCAGCAGUGGGGAAUAUUGGACAAUGGGCGAAAGCCUGAUCCAGCAAUGCCGCGUGAGUGAUGAAGGCCUUAGGGUUGUAAAGCUCUUUUACCAGGGAUGAUAAUGACAGUACCUGGAGAAUAAGCUCCGGCUAACUCCGUGCCAGCAGCCGCGGUAAUACGGAGGGAGCUAGCGUUGUUCGGAAUUACUGGGCGUAAAGCGCGCGUAGGCGGCUUUUUAAGUCAGGGGUGAAAUCCCGGGGCUCAACCCCGGAACUGCCCUUGAAACUGGAUGGCUAGAAUACUGGAGAGGUGAGUGGAAUUCCGAGUGUAGAGGUGAAAUUCGUAGAUAUUCGGAAGAACACCAGUGGCGAAGGCGACUCACUGGACAGUUAUUGACGCUGAGGUGCGAAAAGCGUGGGGAGCAAUCAGGAUUAGAUACCCUGG
rnacentral:rRNA from 1 species